rnacentral:rRNA from 1 species
UACGUAGGUGGCAAGCGUUGUCCGGAUUUACUGGGCGUAAAGAGCGCGCAGGCGGUCGUCCAAGUCGCGUGUGAAAGCCCCCGGCUUAACCGGGGAGGGUCGUCGGGUACGGUCAGGCUUGAGGGCGGGAGAGGGUGGUGGAAUUCCCGGUGUAGUGGUGAAAUGCGCAGAUAUCAGGAAGAACACCCGUGGCGAAGGCGGCUCUCUGGGACGGUACUGACGCUGAGACGCGAAAGCGUGGGGAGCGAACAGG